AUAAUACGUGCACAUUGUGGAAAAGCUAAAAGCACCCUAUGAAGAUUCACAAGGCCAUGAAGGAUUGUGCCCUACGUGGAAUUUCUAGAUCAGAGGUGGAAUAACAAAGGACUGGUGGGACCGUAAAGACAAGGUGUUUUAUCAAGCUAUUAUUGAGGCACAUUAUAGUGAUCCACCCAGAGGCCUACUAUUUUCUCUGGUGUUGGCUCUAAUAUAUACCUUCAUAAAAUGAAGCCAAGAAGUUUAACACAUCAAUGAAUUACACGGAGUUUACAGACCACACCUCAACGGAAGAAAGUAAAAAGCUUUGUUG
rnacentral:lncRNA from 1 species